CACCGGCGCCACGAGUGGGAGUCGAUUUUAUUGGGCCUAAAGCGUCCGUAGUCGGUUCAGCAAAUUCCUUGUGAAAUCAUUAGGCUUAACCUAAUGACGUGCAGGGGAGACUACUGAACUUGGGACCGGGAGGAGUGUGAGGUAUUCCUUGGGGAGCGGUAAAAUGUUAUAAUCCUUGGAGGACCACCUGUGGCGAAGGCGUCACACUAGAACGGAUCCGACGAUGAGGGACGAAAGCUAGGGGA
rnacentral:rRNA from 1 species